rnacentral:rRNA from 1 species
AUUGAACGCUGGCGGCAGGCCUAACACAUGCAAGUCGAACGAGUGGCGGACGGGUGAGUAAUGUCUGGGAAACUGCCUGAUGGAGGGGGAUAACUACUGGAAACGGUAGCUAAUACCGCAUACCAUCGGAUGUGCCCUGAUGGGAUUGGCUAGUAGGUGGGGUAAAGGCUCACCUAGGCGACGAUCCCUAGCUGGUCUGAGAGGAUGACCAGCCACACUGGAACUGAGACACGGUCCAGACUCCUACGGGAGGCAGCAGUGGGGAAUAUUGCGCAAUGGGCGCAAGCCUGAUGCAGCCAUGCCGCGUGUCUGAAGAAGGUCUUCGGAUUGUAAAGUACUUUCAGCGGGGAGGCGUUACCCGCAGAGGAAGCAACGGCUAACUCCGUGCCAGCAGCCGCGGUAAUAC